rnacentral:rRNA from 1 species
AGUGAACGCUGGCGGUAGGCCUAACACAUGCAAGUCGAACGGCAGCACAGUAAGAGCUUGCUCUUACGGGUGGCGAGUGGCGGACGGGUGAGGAAUACAUCGGAAUCUACUUUUUCGUGGGGGAUAACGUAGGGAAACUUACGCUAAUACCGCAUACGACCUACGGGUGAAAGCAGGGGAUCGUCGGACCUUGCGCGAUUGAAUGAGCCGAUGUCGGAUUAGCUAGUUGGCGGGGUAAAGGCCCACCAAGGCGACGAUCCGUAGCUGGUCUGAGAGGAUGGUCAGCCACACUGGAACUGAGACACGGUCCAGACUCCUACGGGAGGCAGCAGUGGGGAAUAUUAGACAGUGGGCGGAAGCCUGAUCCAGCCAUCCCGCGUGGGUGAAGAAGGCCUUCGGGUUGUAAAGCCCUUUUGUUGGGAAAGAAAAGCAGCAGGUUAAUACCCCGCUGUUCUGACGGUACCCAAAGAAUAAGCACCGGCUAACUUCGCG